rnacentral:rRNA from 1 species
AUACGGAGGAUCCGAGCGUUAUCCGGAUUUAUUGGGUUUAAAGGGAGCGUAGGCGGAUUAUUAAGUCAGUUGUGAAAGUUUGCGGCUCAACCGUAAAAUUGCAGUUGAUACUGGUUUCCUUGAGUACGGUACAGGUGGGCGGAAUUCGUGGUGUAGCGGUGAAAUGCUUAGAUAUCACGAAGAACUCCGAUCGCGAAGGCAGCUCACCGGGCCGGAACUGACACUGAUGCUCGAAAGUGCGGGUAUCAAACAGGAUUAGAUACCCUGGUAGUCCGCACAGUAAACGAUGAAUACUCGCUGUUUGCGAUACACUGUAAGCGGCCAAGCGAAAGCGUUAAGUACUCCACCUGGGGAGUACGCCGGCAACGGUGAAACUUAAAGGAAUUGGCGGGG